UGAGAGGACGUGACCCCUGUGGCCAACAGUUGUCCAGCUGGACCAGGCAAUGGGAGACUCCUUACCUCCUCGCACGUCUGCCCCCAGGAGCCACUUCAAGGAGGCAGCCCGUCUGGACAGUGCACAAGACUGAACCUGCACCCGAGUAACUUCUUACUCAAGAAGGCCCUGUGUCUCUGAAGGUGGCAUGUACGAGCGGGCAGAGAACACCAGGGAGCUUGCUGGAAAUGCGGAAUCUCAAGACUCACUUUAGGAAAGAUCCCCAGGAAAGCUGCUUUCUCAAGAAUAUCAUGGAGCGGAGGCUUCCCAGCCCUCAACUUCUCGACUCCCGGCGCUGGAACCCGCCUCGAACAAGAAGACGAGACAACAGCUCUCAAGGCCAAAUGCAGGCUAGUGGGAAAAUGCCAAACUGCACAAGCUACAUGCGCCCCCCUUCCCAACCCAAAACCCCAAAUAAAAAUCCCUACCCGUUCCUCAUCGGGGAGCUAGCAAUUUUUGAGGCAUGAGCCCUUGCUUUGCUCCCUGUGCCUGGCAUAGUAAAAACCUUUCCUCUCCACUCAAAA
rnacentral:lncRNA from 1 species